GGGGAAGACUGGCCUCUGGGAAGCGGCUCUCCUUACUCCAGGUGGGUGCACAGUCGGGCUGCGGGGCGAGGCUCAGGCCCAAACUGCCUGGCUGCGCCCCUAGUUCUGGUGCCGACGACCCUAGGUCCACCUUUUAUGGGGGGAAGAGAAGAACACCCCCUGGGCCCCUGCCCUCUCUGGCCCAGCAAGUGCCCCUCCCCCUACAAAACGGCCCGGGCCCUUGGCGGGUUGCGGGAGGCAGCCCAGCGCCCCCUGCAGGCUGCCAAGUGCCCUACGCUGGCUGCACCCUGCCUCUUUAUCUUUGGAGACUGGUCUGGCCCGGAGCUUGGAUCCUCCUGGCUCAGUGCCUCGGAUCCUGGUGCCCCUCUGUCCCCCACUUCCCGAGCCGUUUACUUGGGGUUCCCCAACAGUGAGCCCUGCGCCUCUGGAGAGCCCACCUGACCCUCCAGGGCCGCCGUCCCAGCCCCAGCCCCCUGCUUGCCCUGGUGGUGAGUGGUCACAGGCUGGCGCCUGCCUCUGGGCGUGCUCCUGGGGGCGUCCCCUGGAGCUCAGCCGCGUCCUGGGUCCUUGAUCUUUGAGAAAUGUCCGCCAGGAAUUAGUCAAUUAGUAAGCGGGUCUGCGGGUGCCCGGGGCAGUGGCCCGUGUUUAUGGGUCACCAUCAUGGCAGAGUGGCAGAGAGGGUCAAAUGGAACACCUCCCAUGGCCAUUUAAUCCCCCAGUGAGCCCUUCCUGGGAUGUUCCCAAGUCUUGCUCCUUUUCAUGGCUGUGUCGUGUUCUGCUGCAUGGAUGAACCUUACUUGGUUUAUCCCGUCGGUGGGUGUUUGGGCUGUUUCCAUCUCUGAGCAAAUACAAACUGAAGCGGCUGUGAAUGCCCCCUCAGGAGUCCCUGUGCACCCGCUUUCUCUUGGGCAAAAACCUCAGGGAGACUGGAGCAAACGGUAGGUGUGUUCGGCCUUUGAAGCAGCACAUUGGUUGCUCUAAUUUGCAUUUCCUUUAUUCCUAGGGCUGAGCCUCUUCUAGCACGAAGCAAAUCCAUUUUUCUGUGAAGGAUGCUCCUGAGCUUCCUUAUUGAAUGGUGUGUCUCAAGGAUGCGCCUCGCUGUUGCCGUUCCAUCACGUGAUGACGACCUCCAACCUGAAGAGCAAGUCCCGGUGGAGACCCUGGACCUGGGUGAGCCCCACUCUGGACGGAGGAGAUGAGGGAUGGCCGGGCCUCCCGCGUGCUAGGAGCGCUCCACCCACCCAGCCACUCCCCAGCCUCCGUUCUUUCCUCUUGAUUCUCCUGAGAACUUAAAGUGGCUCUUAAAAUGAAUCUCAGAAAUAAAGGGCUUCCUCAUCCCGCGGA